rnacentral:rRNA from 1 species
GUGAAUUACAUACAAUAAGCGGAGGAAAAGAAACCAACAGGGAUUGCCCUAGUAACGGCGAGUGAAGCGGCAACAGCUCAAAUUUGAAAUCUGGCGCAAGCCCGAGUUGUAAUUUGUAGAGGAUGCUUCUGGCCAGCGGCCGUUCUAAGUUCCUUGGAACAGGACGUCAUAGAGGGUGAGAAUCCCGUAUGUGACCGGCGCGCAGCCUUUACGUAGCUCCUUCGACGAGUCGAGUUGUUUGGGAAUGCAGCUCUAAAUGGGAGGUAAAUUUCUUCUAAAGCUAAAUACCGGCCAGAGACCGAUAGCGCACAAGUAGAGUGAUCGAAAGAUGAAAAGCACUUUGGAAAGAGAGUUAAAAAGCACGUGAAAUUGUUGAAAGGGAAGCGCUUGCAACCAGACUUCGUAGCGAUGUUCCGCUGGUCUUCUGACCGGUCUACUCAUCGUCGCGAGGCCAACAUCGUCUGGGCCCGCUGGAUAAGACCUAAGGAAUGUAGCUUCCCUCGGGAAGUGUUAUAGCCUGUGGUGAUGCAGCGUGGCUCGGGCGAGGUCCGCGCUUCGGCAAGGAUGUUGGCGUAAUGGUUGUCAGCGGCCCGUCUUGAAACACGGACCAAGGAGUCUAACAUCUAUGCGAGUGUUCGGGUGUCAAACCCCUACGCGUAAUGAAAGUGAACGGAGGUGGGAAGCGCAAGCUGCACCAUCGACCGAUCCUGAUGUCCUCGGAUGGAUUUGAGUAAGAGCAUAGCUGUUGGGACCCGAAAGAUGGUGAACUAUGCCUGAAUAGGGUGAAGCCAGAGGAAACUCUGGUGGAGGCUCGCAGCGGUUCUGACGUGCAAAUCGAUCGUCAAAUUUGGGUAUAGGGGCGAAAGACUAAUCGAACCAUCUAUAGCUGGUCUCA